rnacentral:tRNA from 1 species
GGGCCUGUAGUUUAUGGAGUAAAAUCUCACCCUUGGUAAGUGAAGAAGCGGGUGCAAAUCCCGCCGGGUCCA